GACGAACGCUGGCGGCGUGCUUAACACAUGCAAGUCGAACGAAGAGCGAUGGAAGCUUGCUUCUAUCAAUCUUAGUGGCGAACGGGUGAGUAACGCGUAAUCAACCUGCCCUUCAGAGGGGGACAACAGUUGGAAACGACUGCUAAUACCGCAUACGAUCUAAUCUCGGCAUCGAGGAUAGAUGAAAGGUGGCCUCUACAUGUAAGCUAUCACUGAAGGAGGGGAUUGCGUCUGAUUAGGUAGUUGGAGGGGUAACGGCCCACCAAGGCGAUGAUCAGUAGCCGGUCUGAGAGGAUGAACGGCCACAUUGGGACUGAGACACGGCCCAGACUCCUACGGGAGGCAGCAGUGGGGAAUCUUCCGCAAUGGACGAAAGUCUGACGGAGCAACGCCGCGGGAGUGAUGACGGCCUUCGGGUUGUAAAGCUCUGUUAAUCGGGACGAAAGGCCUUCUUGCGAAUAGUGAGAAGGAUUGACGGUACCGGAAUAGAAAGCCACGGCUAACUACGUG
rnacentral:rRNA from 1 species